rnacentral:rRNA from 1 species
UGGGGAAUCUUAGACAAUGGGCGCAAGCCUGAUCUAGCCAUGCCGCGUGGAUGAUGAAGGCCUUAGGGUCGUAAAGUCCUUUCGCUGGGGAAGCGGUACCCAGUAAAGAAACCCCGGCUAACUCCGUGCCAGCAGCCGCGGUAAUACGGAGGGGGUUAGCGUUGUUCGGAAUUACUGGGCGUAAAGCGCGCGUAGGCGGAUUGGAAAGUUGGGGGUGAAAUCCCGGGGCUCAACCCCGGAAUUGCCUUCAAAACUCCCAGUCUUGAGGUCGAGAGAGGUGAGUGGAAUUCCGAGUGUAGAGGUGAAAUUCGUAGAUAUUCGGAGGAACACCAGUGGCGAAGGCGGCUCACUGGCUCGAUACUGACGCUGAGGUGCGAAAGCGUGGGGAGCAAACAGGAUUAGAUACCCGAGUAGU